rnacentral:rRNA from 1 species
AUUGAACGCUGGCGGCAUGCUUUACACAUGCAAGUCGAACGGUAACAGGCCUUCGGGUGCUGACGAGUGGCGAACGGGUGUGUAAUGCAUCGGAACGUACCCAGAGGUGGGGGAUAACGCAGCGAAAGCUGUGCUAAUACCGCAUGUGAUCUGAGGAUGAAAGCGGGGGACCGAGCAGCAAUGUUUGGCCUCGCGCCUUUGGAGCGGCCGAUGUCGGAUUAGCUAGUUGGUGGGGUAAAGGCCUACCAAGGCGACGAUCCGUAGCUGGUCUGAGAGGACGACCAGCCACACUGGGACUGAGACACGGCCCAGACUCCUACGGGAGGCAGCAGUGGGGAAUGUUGGACAAUGGGCGCAAGCCUGAUCCAGCAAUGCCGCGUGCGGGAAGAAGGCCUUCGGGUUGUAAACCGCUUUUGGCAGGAACGAAACGGUGUCCGCUAAUACCGGGCGCUAAUGACGGUACCUGCAGAAUAAGCACCGGCUAACUACGUG